GUUAUUUUGAAAUCGAAGUGUGUGAUAUGUUUGACCGGUUGCUUUUAUUUUUUUUAAAGCUUACUCUAACUGCACUAAAUAUUCAUAUAUGUUGAUAUAAAUUCUGACGGUAUGUCUGCCAUCCCAUUUAUUGAAACUUCAAAUAAGCCUCUUCAGGUUGCUACCUUGUUUGAACUUGAAAUGGCAAUGCUACUCCUGUCCAUUGCUACUUAAAUCAAUCUUCGCUGAGGAUUACCUAAGCUACUCGGUAACGAUAGAGCCGAAACACCGUGCAGAAGUUGUACAGUAAUCUGCAGAAGUUGCUUGAAUAUCCACCCAAGGGCUCGGAAAAACUUGCCUUACUGAGCUUGAAGGAGAGGAUCUGGAUGCUGAUCUAGAUUUGCCUUGUUUUCAUCAAGACGUGCAUACAAAAGGUCAAUUCAUUCUUCAAUGGUGAAAUCCACUACUAGCAUCUGUGUGGUAAAAACAUCGAAUAUCUUUAUAUGCUUGGAUGAUUUUGGAUUAAUGACUGUCUUAUUUCCUGCUACCUGUAACAGACAAAAGUAAUCGGAUUUUUAAUCUGGUUGACAUAUGUUUACCUCAAUAUUAAAUCUGUAUCUAAAAUUAAUUUAUCAAUAGUAAUUAGUAAAAUGGUAUGUAGGGGAACUUCAAGAUGGAUAUCGGAAAUUAUUUCAAAUACUUAACGGUUCAUACGAUUCUUCAAAUUUUUGCUUUUUUAAAUUCUUUCGAAUGAAACGGACAAAAAUAUCCGAGAUUUAUUUUCUACACAGGGUAGUUAAUGCUGACAUUAUGACAGCGCUGCAUUUUCAUUUCGUUAAGGUCAAUCUACAUUCUACAUGUCCAUAUCGGAAGAAUAGCAUUCGAGAUAUCUCGAAUACGAAUUUACACUUAUUUCGCUUACUCGGUUAUUAAGUUGCACUGUUUUUAAGGUAGGGUUUAAGGUACCUUUAGAUAGUUAUGCCUGUCGCGUUCAGAUGAAUGUGUAGAAUGAAGCCUCUUCAAAUUUCUUGUCAGUUUAAUCUCUUAAAUGGGCUCGGUAGUAUUCUGCGUCUUCUCAUUAUCAAUAGAGCAUUCUUUCAACCUAACAUUCUAUUAGUGGCCAUAAUGCCAAAUUCAAAUCGGUUUUAACGAAUCCUUAAAUGAAUCUCGUUUGGCACUCGCUCCUUGCAAGAAAUUAAGAUUUGCAUUUCGUUUACUCACUCUGUUGAUAGGCUUUAUGUUUAAGUUAAUAAACGUUCCGAGACUGACGAUAUUCGAACCUCUUCGUAUCGGGUCAUUCAAAUUCAAUAGCAUCUGAAUUUUUCCCCAUUUUUGAGUUUCUAAAGAAACUAAAUUUCUCCGGCUGAAAGACUUCAAUUUGAUUAAAAAAACAAAUUUUAAUCAACUUAAAGUUUUUACAAUAUUAACUGGGUAAUGAGUAAUCGUCACUCUUAAUGUUUAAUUCUAAUGUUUAAUAUUUUGAUAGUCCUUUGUUGAUUAGAAUAGAUAAAUCCUGUCCCCACUCCAUUCA